AACGAACGCUGGCGGCAUGCCUAACACAUGCAAGUCGAACGAGACCUUCGGGUCUAGUGGCGCACGGGUGCGUAACGCGUGGGAACCUGCCUUUAGGUUCGGAAUAACUCAGAGAAAUUUGAGCUAAUACCGGAUGAUUUCUUCGGACCAAAGAUUUAUCGCCUUUAGAUGGGCCCGCGUUGGAUUAGCUAGUUGGUUGGGUAAAGGCCUACCAAGGCGACGAUCCAUAGCUGGUCUGAGAGGAUGAUCAGCCACACUGGGACUGAGACACGGCCCAGACUGCUACGGGAGGCAGCAGUGGGGAAUAUUGGACAAGGGGCGAAAGCCUGAUACAGCAAUGACGCGUGAGUGAUGAAGGCCUUAGGGUUGUAAAGCUCUUUUACCCGAGAUGAUAAUGACAGUAUCGGGAGAAUAAGCUCCGGCUAACUCCGUG
rnacentral:rRNA from 1 species